rnacentral:rRNA from 1 species
UACAGAGGUCCCGAGCGUUGUUCGGAUUCAUUGGGGCGUAAAGGGUGCGUAGGCGGUUUUCUAAGUUUGAUGUGAAAUCCCGGGGCUCAACCCUGGAAUUGCCUUUGAAACUGCAGUGCUAGAAUCCUGGAGAGGCGAGUGGAAUUCCGAGUGUAGAGGUGAAAUUCGUAGAUAUUCGGAAGAACACCAGUGGCGAAGGCGACUCGCUGGACAGGUAUUGACGCUGAGGUGCGAAAGCGUGGGGAUCAAACAGG